rnacentral:lncRNA from 1 species
GUUCGCAUCAGUUGGUAUCAGAGCUUUAGCUCCAAAUUAAUUGAAGGUUAUAUCUUUUUUUUAUUUGUUUGAGUCGUUAAUUUUGUUUUCUUAGUUUCUUCUUCUAUUUUAAUUGUUCUUUCUUAGUUCUUCUUCGUUCUUUUUUUUCUUUUCUUCGUUUCGUUGAGUUGUUGGUAGUCUUCUUUCAUCAAGGAGUUAAAAAAAAAGUACAAAAAAAGUUACUGUACAAUUGCUAAUCUUAGCCGGGAGCAAGUGGAGAUGUCUAAUGCUAGGGGGCCGGGUAGGCGUGAAUCUAGGAGAGGAAGGCGAGAUGAGUAUCAUAGUGAUGAGGAUGAUUUUGAUGAAAAUGACUUUGAUAUGGGUCGAGCGAGGCAUAAGGGCGAUAGGAUGGAAAGACGGGAUAGAAAUAACUUGAGAGAUGAAGUAGAUGAAAAUUUGGGGAGUACUAAAAUGGCUAUUCCGCAAUUUAAAGGGAGAAGCAAUCUGGAAGUAUAUUUAGAGUGGGAAAGGAAGGUUGAGAUGAUUUUUGAGUGCUAUAAUUAUUCGGAGGAGAAAAAGGUAAAAUUGGUGGUGCUUGAAUUCGUGGAUUACGCGAUAUCUUGGUGGGAUCAAGUACUUACAUCACGGCGUAGGGAUCGAGAAAGACCAAUUAGCACUUGGGAUGAAUUUAAGGUGUUGAUGAGAAGGAGGUUUGUUCCGACUCACUAUUAUAGGGAAAUCCAUCAAAAAUUGCAAGGUUUGUACCAAGAAUCGAAAAGUGUAGAGGAUUAUCACAAGGAGAUGAAAAUUCUUAUGCUUCGGGCUAAUGUGGAGGAAGAUCGGGAAGCUACCAUGGCACGGUUCUUGAAUGGGUUAAAUCGGAACAUUGUAGAGUUGCAACACUAGGUAGAAAUCGAAGACAUGUUACAUGUGGCAAUGAAGGUCAAGAGGCAAUGAAGAGGAAGGGGACGUCUAGACAACCGUUAGGUACUUCGACUCCUAAUCCAACAUGAAAAUCGAAGUGGGAUGACAACAAUAAAAACGGGGCUGCACCUAGAGGUAAAAAUGAUCGGCAAAAGGGCAAGGAUGAAAACGCUAGCAAACCAAUAUCAAAAUCGGAGGUACAACCGUCGCGCAAUCGGGACAUCAAAUGUUUUAGAUGUUUAGGAACGGGGCAUAUUACUUCUCAAUGUCCAAACAAAUGGGCGAUGGUGUUACGGGAUAAUGGAAAUAUUGUGAGCGAUAGUGAUGGCGAGUUUGAUGACAUGCCGACGUUGGAGGAUGUUAGUGAAGAAGAAAAAGUUGAACUGCCGAUUGGGGAUCUACUAGUCACAAGGCGUGCUCUCACUACUCACGUCAAAGCGGAUGACUUGGAGUUGCAACGGGAGAACAUUUUCCACACUCGAUGCCACGUCAACAAUACGAUAUGUAGUGUUAUAAUUGAUGGUGGUAGUUGCACUAAUGUAGCUAGCGUAUCUCUUGUAGAAAAUUUGGAUUUAACAUUGUUGAGACACCUGAGACCUUAUAAACUACAAUGGUUGAAUGAGAGUGGCGAGGUGAGGGUGAAUCGAAGGGUGCUAAUUAAUUUGUCAAUUGGGAGUUAUAAGGACGAGUUAGUGUGCGAUGUGGGGCCAAUGCAAGCGGAACAUAUUUUAUUGGGGCGACCAUGGCAAUACGAUAGGAAGGCUAUGCAUGAUGGGUAUAAAAAUCGAUAUAGUUUCAUUAAGGAUGGAAGGACUAUUACUCUUGUGCCAUUAACACUGGCGCAAGUCUAUGAGGACCAAUUAAAAUUGAGAAGUGAGGAAGAGAGGAGAGUCAAAGAGUUAGAAAAAAAGAGAGAAAGUGGUGAGUUAGAGAAGAAGAGAGAAAAUGUUGAGAUAGCCACUAGAGAGAAAAAAAAGAGCAAGCACAAAAAAGAAAAGAAAGGGAGUGUUUCGAGAUAAGAGAAAAAACACGAGCGAAUUUCUUUGCAAAAGAGAGUGAUUUGAGGAGGGCGGUAGUUGAGGGAAAAUAGAUUAUCUUGUUCGUUUAUAAGGAAUCACUCCUCAAUUUUGAGGAAACUAACCCACCCCUCCCUAGUUUGGCUAAGUCUUUAUUGCAGGAAUUCGAGGAUGUAUUUCCGAAGGAUGCACCAAGUGGAUUGCUGCCUAUUCGAGACAUUGAACAUCAAAUUGACUUCAUACCCGGAGCUGUCAUUCCAAAUUGACUGGCUUAUCGAAGUAAUCCCGAUGAGACUAAGGAGUUUCAAAGUCAAGUGGAGGAGUCAAUGAGCAAAGGAUACGUGAGGGAAAGCAUGAGUCCUUGUGCGGUACCGAUUUUGCUUGUGCCAAAAAAGGAUGGAACAUGACGAAUGUGCGUGGAUUGUAGGGCUAUCAACAACAUAACGGUAAAGUAUCGUCACCCUAUACCUAGGUUAGAUGACAUGCUUGAUGAAUUACAUGGUGCUUGCAUAUUUUCUAAAAUUGAUUUAAAAAGCGGGUAUCAUCAAAUUCGUAUGCGGGAGGAUGAUGAAUGGAAAACGACUUUUAAAACUAAAUAUGGUUUAUAUGAAUAGUUGGUUAUGCCGUUUGGACUCACAAAUGCACAUAACACUUUUAUGCGUUUAAUAAAUCAUGUUUUAUGUGCUUUUGUGGGAAAAUUUGUUGUGAUUUAUUUUGACGACAUCGUAAUCUAUAACAAAG